rnacentral:rRNA from 1 species
AAUGAACGCUGGCGGCAGGCCUAACACAUGCAAGUCGAACGGAGUUAUAUUGUAGCUUGCUAUGAUAUAACUUAGUGGCAGACGGGUGAGUAAUGUAUAGGAAUCUACCUAGUAGUACGGAAUAAUUGUUGGAAACGACAACUAAUACCGUAUACGCCCUAUGGGGGAAAAAUUUAUUGCUAUUAGAUGAGCCUAUAUUAGAUUAGCUUGUUGGUGGGGUAAUGGCCUACCAAGGCAAUGAUCUAUAGCUGAUCUGAGAGGAUGAUCAGCCACACUGGAACUGAGAUACGGUCCAGACUCCUACGGGAGGCAGCAGUGGGGAAUAUUGGACAAUGGGCGAAAGCCUGAUCCAGCCAUGCCGCAUGAGUGAAGAAGGCCUUCGGGUUGUAAAGCUCUUUUAGUGAGGAAGAUAAUGACGGUACUCACAGAAGAAGUCCUGGCUAACUCC